UGCUGGUCUUUGUCAGCACAAAUAUUAAAUUGAAACGAUACAGAGAAGAUUAGCAUGGCCCGUGUGCAAGGAGUGCUUUUCUUUAAAGAGAAAGAGGGGAAGUCUGU
rnacentral:snRNA from 1 species